AGAGUUUGAUCAUGGCUCAGGAUGAACGCUGGCGGCGUGCUUAACACAUGCAAGUCGAACGGGAUCCUGCGGGCUUUGCCUGCGGGUGAGAGUGGCGAACGGGUGAGUAAUGCGUGACCAACCUGCCCCAUGCUCCGGAAUAGCUCCUGGAAACGGGUGGUAAUGCCGGAUGUUCCCGCGCCCCGCAUGGGGUGCGGGGAAAAGCUUUUGCGGCGUGGGAUGGGGUCGCGUCCUAUCAGCUUGUUGGCGGGGUGAGGGCCCACCAAGGCUUCGACGGGUAGCCGGCCUGAGAAGGCGACCGGCCACAUUGGGACUGAGAUACGGCCCAGACUCCUACGGGAGGCAGCAGUGGGGAAUAUUGCACAAUGGGCGCAAGCCUGAUGCAGCGACGCCGCGUGCGGGAUGGAGGCCUUCGGGUUGUAAACCGCUUUUGUUUGGGAGCAAGCCCUUCGGGGUGAGUGUACCUUUCGAAUAAGCACCGGCUAAAUACGUGCCAGCAGCCGCGGUAAUAAGUAGGGUGCGAGCGUUAUCCGGAUUUAUUGGGCGUAAAGGGCUUGUAGGCGGUUUGUCGCGUCCGGUGUGAAAGUCCAUCGCCUAACGGUGGAUUUGCGCCGGGUACGGGCGGGCUGGAGUGCGGUAGGGGAGACUGGAAUUCCCGGUGUAACGGUGGAAUGUGUAGAUAUCGGGAAGAACACCAAUGGCGAAGGCAGGUCUUUGGGCCGUUACUGACGCUGAGGAGCGAAAGCGUGGGGAGCGAACAGGAUUAGAUACCCUGGUAGUCCACGCCGUAAACGGUGGAUGCUGGAUGUGGGGCCCUUCCACGGGUCCCGUGUCGGGGCCAACGCGUUAAGCAUCCCGCCUGGGGAGUACGGCCGCAAGGCUAAAACUCAAAGAAAUUGACGGGGGCCCGCACAAGCGGCGGAGCAUGCGGAUUAAUUCGAUGCAACGCGAAAAACCUUACCUGGGCUUGACAUGUUCCCGACGACGGCAGAGAUGUCGUUUCCCUUCGGGGCGGGUUCACAGGUGGUGCAUGGUCGUCGUCAGCUCGUGUCGUGAGAUGUUGGGUCAAGUCCCGCAACGAGCGCAACCCUCGCCCCGUGUUGCCAGCGCGUCUUGGCGGGAACUCACCGGGGACCGCCGGGGUUUACCCGGAGGAAGGUGGGGAUGACGUCAGAUCAUCAUGCCCCUUACGUCCAGGGCUUCACGGCAUGCUACAAUGGCCGGGUACAGGCGGGGAUGCAGACAUGGUGACAUGGAGCGGGAUCCCUGAAAACCGGUCUCAGUUCGGGAUCGGAGCGUGCAACCCGGCUCGGUGAAGGCGGAGUCGGCUAAGUAAUCGCGGAUCAGCAACGCCGCGGUGAAUGCGUUCCCGGGCCUUGUACACACCGCCCGUCAAGUCAUGAAAGUGGGCAGCACCCGAAGCCGGUGGCCUGACCAGUAUUGCUGGGGGGAGCCGUCUAAGGUGAGGCUCGCGAUUGGGAGUAAGUCGUAACAAGGUAGCCGUACCGGAAGGUGCGGCUGGAUCACCUCCUU
rnacentral:rRNA from 2 species